UACGUAGGUGGCGAGCGUUGUCCGGAUUUACUGGGCGUAAAGAGCGCGCAGGCGGUCGUGCAAGUCGCGUGUGAAAGCCCCCGGCUCAACUGGGGAGGGUCACGCGAUACUGCUCGACUUGAAGGCAGGAGAGGGAAGUGGAAUUCCCGGUGUAGCAGUGAAAUGCGUAGAGAUCGGGAGGAACAUCAGUUGCGAAGGCGGCUCUCUGGACCAGCACUGACACUGAGGCACGAAAGCGUGGGGAGCAAACAGG
rnacentral:rRNA from 1 species